AAUGCAUAAUAUAUAUACAAAACAUAGCAAGUCCAACACAUGGAACUAAUUUAUGACCAAAAGAGGUAUCUAUCCCAAAAUAUGAACUCUUAAACUGAAAAGAUAAUUCAUACAAUGCUUGACAAUCUAUGGCUCAACUUGAUAGAUCAACUGGCCCAGUAAUGUUCCACUCAGCUACUAUCUGAUAAGAGAAAUAAUGAUAAAAAUGUGAGCCUAUAACUCAGUGAGUGGAUAGUUGCAAAAAUAUAAUUUUCCAUUCAUAAAACCUUUAUGAAAAUUGACAUAUAGCAUAAAAUUUCUUUUCACAGACAUAUAAACUAAAUUAUUUAUUCUUUAAACUGAAUAGGUUGAGUUCCGUAGCUUAAAAUCUGAUGAUAUAAUCAAAACUAAAAUAUAUUGUAAUCAUAAACAUCUUUAUUCUGUAUACUGCAUUUCUAAAAUCUAAUAAGCUAUGUGAUACUAAAAUAUCACACCAAAAAUGUACUCGAAAUAACCAUACUCGUGAAUCGAUUAAUCUCGAUAUACAUAGCAAGGUUAUUAAAUUCUGAAAUUCUAUAAUGCUGAAAUUCUGUAAUUCUGGUCGUACGCACGCAGAGCUAUAAAAUGGUCAUACACUAUGGAAACACAUUCACAAUAGUACAGAGCGGGUAAAAUCACUAUAUUGAUCAUACGCUGUGGAAACACAUUCACACCAGCGCAGAGUGGGUAAAAUAAUCAUAUGAAGUCAUGAACUGUGGAAACACAUUCACACCAAUGCAGACGAGGGUAAAAUCACUUGGGUACUUUCUGGUGGUUUUAAAAUAACUUUGAAUAUAUUGAAAUAUUUAAUACUAAAAUAAUAUGUCAAUGAAAUAAUUUAACUGAACUGAAUUUAACUUUUAAAAACAUUUGAUAAUAAAAUUCAUUUUAUUCUGAAAAAUCAUGCUAUCAACUCAACUUAUAAAAUACGUAACUUCAAAAUUAAAUAAAUAUUUAUUUCUAAAAAAUAAGCUUAUCCACUCACAUAAUACAAGCUGAACCUAAGCUGGUCGAUAGGCUCUU
rnacentral:lncRNA from 1 species